rnacentral:rRNA from 13 species
CCCGAGUAGCAGCGGGCUCGUGGAAUCUGCUGUGAAUCUGCCGGGACCACCCGGUAAGCCUAAAUACUCAGUGUGACCGAUAGUGGAUAGUACCGUGAGGGAAUGGUGAAAAGUACCCCGGGAGGGGAGUGAAAUAGUACCUGAAACCGGUCGCAUACAAGCCGUCGGAGCCUUUUUGGGGUGACGGCGUGCCUAUUGAAAAAUGAGCCUGCGAGUUAGUGGUAUGUGGCGAGGUUAACCUGUGUGGGGUAGUCGUAGCGAAAGCGAGUCCGAUAAGGGCGUCAGUCGCAUGCUCUAGACCCGAAGCGGUGUGAUCUAUCCAUGGCCAGGAUGAAGCGUCGGUAAGACGUCGUGGAGGUCCGAACCCACUUCAGUUAAAAAUGGAGGGGAUGAGUUGUGGAUAGGGGUGAAAGGCCAAUCAAACACCGUGAUAGCUGGUUCUCCCCGAAAUGCAUUUAGGUGCAGCGUUGCGUGGUUCUUGUUGGAGGUAGAGCACUGGAUGGUCUAGGGGGCUUAUCGGCUUACCGAAAUCAGCCAAACUCCGAAUGCUGGCAAGUGUAGCGUGGCAGUGAGACGGCGGGGGAUAAGCUUCGUCGUCGAGAGGGAAACAGCCCAGAUCAUCAGCUAAGGCCCCUAAGUGGUGACUCAGUGGGAAAGGAUGUGGAGUUGCGUAGACAACCAGGAGGUUGGCUUGGAAGCAGCCAUCCUUGAAAGAGUGCGUAAUAGCUCACUGGUCAAGUGAUUCCGCGCCGAUAAUGUAGCGGGGCUUAAGUUAUCCGCCGAAGCUGUGGCAACUUUUUUUGAGUUGGGUAGGGGAGCGUCGUGUUCGUGGUGAAGCAGCCUGGUGAUGGGUUGUGGAGUGGAUGCGAGUGAGAAUGCAGGCAUGAGUAGCGAAUGACGGGUGGGAAACCCGUCCGCCGAAUAUCCAAGGGUUCCAGGGUCAAGUUAAUCUGCCCUGGGUGAGUCGGGACCUAAGGCGAGGCCGACAGGCGUAGUCGAUGGACGACCAGUUGAUAUUCUGGUACCGGUGUAGCACCGUCCGUGUCGAGGUGUGUGAUGCUAAGCGUGCGAGUGUCCUGGUGAUCCCUUCGGGGUGAUCUUGUGGCGUGAGUGUGUGAACCGAUCAUGUAGUAGACAAGCUGCGGAGGGACACAGUGAGGUAGCUCGUCCCCGGCGAUGGUUGUCCGGGGCUAAAUGUGUGGACUGUCUGGUAGGUAAAUCCGUCAGACGUUGAGUUGAGGCAUGAUGGCGAGCCAUGUUUGUGUGGUGAGCGAGUGAUCCUGUGCUGUCGAGAAAAGCUUCGUGAGCGAGGUGUGAGCCGCCCGUACCCUAAACCGACACUGGUGGAUUGGUAGAGUAUACCGAGGCGAUCGAGAGAAUCAUGGUGAAGGAACUCGGCAAAAUGCCCCCGUAACUUUGGAAGAAGGGGGACCUGAGCUGUUGCCGCCACGUGCUGGUGGUUGCGGUGAGGGGCGCAGAGAAUUGGGGGAAGCGACUGUUUACCAAAAACACAGGUCCGUGCGAAGUCGUAAGACGAUGUAUACGGACUGACUCCUGCCCGGUGCUGGAAGGUUAAGGGGGGGAGUUAGCUUCGGCGAAGCUCUGAACUGAAGCCCCAGUAAACGGCGGCCGUAACUAUAACGGUCCUAAGGCAGCG